rnacentral:rRNA from 1 species
AAAGAACCCCGGCGAGGGGAGUGAAAAAGAACCUGAAACCGUGUACGUACAAGCAGUGGGAGCACCCUUUGGGGUGUGACUGCGUACCUUUUGUAUAAUGGGUCAGCGACUUAUAUUCUGUAGCAAGGUUAACCGAAUAGGGGAGCCGGAGGGAAACCGAGUCUUAACCGGGCGUUAAGUUGCAGGGUAUAGACCCGAAACCCGGUGAUCUAGCCAUGGGCAGGUUGAAGGUUGGGUAACACUAACUGGAGGACCGAACCGACUAAUGUUGAAAAAUUAGCGGAUGACCUGUGGCUGGGGGUGAAAGGCCAAUCAAACCGGGAGAUAGCUGGUUCUCCCCGAAAGCUAUUUAGGUAGCGCCUCGUGAAUUCAUCUCCGGGGGUAGAGCACUGUUUCGGCUAGGGGGCCAUCCCGGCUUACCAACCCGAUGCAAACUGCGAAUACCGGAGAAUGUUAUCACGGGAGACACACGGCGGGUGCUAACGUCCGUCGUGAAGAGGGAAACAACCCAGACCGCCAGCUAAGGUCCCAAAGUCAUGGUUAAGUGGGAAACGAUGUGGGAAGGCCCAGACAGCCAGGAUGUUGGCUUAGAAGCAGCCAUCAUUUAAAGAAAGCGUAAUAGCUCACUGGUCGAGUCGGCCUGCGCGGAAGAUGUAACGGGGCUAAACCAUGCACCGAAGCUGCGGCAGCGACACUCAGGUGUUGUUGGGUAGGGGAGCGUUCUGUAAGCCUGCGAAGGUGGCCUGUGAGGGUUGCUGGAGGUAUCAGAAGUGCGAAUGCUGACAUAAGUAACGAUAAAGCGGGUGAAAAGCCCGCUCGCCGGAAGACCAAGGGUUCCUGUCCAACGUUAAUCGGGGCAGGGUGAGUCGACCCCUAAGGCGAGGCCGAAAGGCGUAGUCGAUGGGAAACGGGUUAAUAUUCCCGUACUUGGUGUUACUGCGAAGGGGGGACGGAGAAGGCUAUGUUGGCCGGGCGACGGUUGUCCCGGUUUAAGCGUGUAGGUGUGUGUUCCAGGUAAAUCCGGUUCACUUUAACACUGAGGCGUGACGACGAGGCACUACGGUGCUGAAGCAACAAAUGCCCUGCUUCCAGGAAAAGCCUCUAAGCAUCAGGUAACAUCAAAUCGUACCCCAAACCGACACAGGUGGUCAGGUAGAGAAUACCAAGGCGCUUGAGAGAACUCGGGUGAAGGAACUAGGCAAAAUGGUGCCGUAACUUCGGGAGAAGGCACGCUGACACGUAGGUGAAGUGAUUUACUCAUGGAGCUGAAGUCAGUCGAAGAUACCAGCUGGCUGCAACUGUUUAUUAAAAACACAGCACUGUGCAAACACGAAAGUGGACGUAUACGGUGUGACGCCUGCCCGGUGCCGGAAGGUUAAUUGAUGGGGUCAGCGCAAGCGAAGCUCCUGAUCGAAGCCCCGGUAAACGGCGGCCGUAACUAUAACGGUCCUAAGGUAGCGAAAUUCCUUGUCGGGUAAGUUCCGACCUGCACGAAUGGCGUAAUGAUGGCCAGGCUGUCUCCACCCGAGACUCAGUGAAAUUGAACUCGCUGUGAAGAUGCAGUGUACCCGCGGCAAGACGGAAAGACCCCGUGAACCUUUACUAUAGCUUGACACUGAACAUUGAGCCUUGAUGUGUAGGAUAGGUGGGAGGCUUUGAAGUGUGGACGCCAGUCUGCAUGGAGCCGGCCUUGAAAUACCACCCUUUAAUGUUUGAUGUUCUAACGUGGACCCGUGAUCCGGGUUGCGGACAGUGUCUGGUGGGUAGUUUGACUGGGGCGGUCUCCUCCUAAAGAGUAACGGAGGAGCACGAAGGUUGGCUAAUCCUGGUCGGACAUCAGGAGGUUAGUGCAAUGGCAUAAGCCAGCUUGACUGCGAGCGUGACGGCGCGAGCAGGUGCGAAAGCAGGUCAUAGUGAUCCGGUGGUUCUGAAUGGAAGGGCCAUCGCUCAACGGAUAAAAGGUACUCCGGGGAUAACAGGCUGAUACCGCCCAAGAGUUCAUAUCGACGGCGGUGUUUGGCACCUCGAUGUCGGCUCAUCACAUCCUGGGGCUGAAGUAGGUCCCAAGGGUAUGGCUGUUCGCCAUUUAAAGUGGUACGCGAGCUGGGUUUAGAACGUCGUGAGACAGUUCGGUCCCUAUCUGCCGUGGGCGCUGGAGAACUGAGGGGGGCUGCUCCUAGUACGAGAGGACCGGAGUGGACGCAUCACUGGUGUUCGGGUUGUCAUGCCAAUGGCACUGCCCGGUAGCUAAAUGCGGAAGAGAUAAGUGCUGAAAGCAUCUAAGCACGAAACUUGCCCCGA